AGAGUGAGGAGAGGAAGUGAUGGAGGGCAGGAUGAAGUGUAAGACCUUUCAUGUGCAUGGAGGAGAGGAGAAACCAAAAAGAGAUGAAUAGAGGAGAAAACCGAACAAAAAUAAGCAGAUGGCAGAGAAGAGGAGUGGCACCAUCCCUGGCAGGAUAGGAGCUCUACUUGGCUGUGUCUGCUGCUGCACUACUGGCGCUACUGCUCAUCCUUAAAAUGGUUUUGUACUUGAGACUGAGGAAACAUAGACACAAUAUAGCAAGAACAACAUUGGGACAAGCAGCAACCCCAGUGAUGAACACACAAUAAGAUAAGUGACCCACUGACAGUCAGUUUUGUGAACAUGCCCACUACUGCCACAUAUCUUUAUCACUAACCCACAUGUUAACAGACUGUAGCCCAGAUAUUUCACAUUCCUGUAUGAGCAGGUCCAGGUAAAUGUACACUGGGAGUGAGGAUCACCAUUUCUGCUAUACUUAAAGACAAAUGCAUGCUACAUUUCAACACUAGAGGGCUCACUGACUCCCAUUUUCACUUCAGCUUAUGGAAAAAUCACAGGGAAAAAGCAUUCAACCACUGGAGUGAGGACCUUUUGAUGGGGGACGC